rnacentral:rRNA from 1 species
GCAUAAUCAUUAGUUUUUUAAUUAAAAGCUUGUAUGAAAGGUUGGACGAAGUAAAAUCUGUCUCUUUUUAAUAUAAUUAGAAUUUAAUUUUUAAGUAAAAAAGCUUAAAUUUUUAUAAAAGACGAGAAGACCCUAUAGAGUUUAAUAAUUAAUUUAAAUUAAUUAAUUUAGAUUUAUUAAUUUUAUUUUUUAAAAAAUUAUUUUAUUGGGGUAAUAGAAAGAUUUAUAUAAUUCUUUUUUUAUUUUUACAUUUAUUUAUGAUUAAAAUGAUCCUUUUUUUAUGAUUAAAAGAUUAAAUUACCUUAGGGAUAACAGCGUAAUUUUUUUUAAGAGUUCAUAUCGAUAAAAAAGUUUGCGACCUCGAUGUUGGAUUAAAGAUUAAUUUAGGUGUAGAAGUUUAAAUUUUUGGUCUGUUCGACCAUUAAAUCUUUACAUGAUCUGAGUUCAAACCGGUGUAAGCCAGGUUGGUUUCUAUCUUUAUAAAAUUUUUAUAUUUUAGUACGAAAGGACCAAAUAUUUAAUAUAUUAAUAUUUAUUAUUUUGAAUAUUAUUAAAUUUAUUAUUUUGGCAGAUUAGUGUAAUGAAUUUAGAAUUCAUAAAAGUAAUAUUUUUACAAAUAAUACUUGUUUUUAAUUGAUAUUAUAAUUUCUUUAAUUUUAAUGAUUUUAUUAAUUAUUUGUGUUUUAGUUGGAG